rnacentral:lncRNA from 1 species
UCCGCGCCGCAGCCAGGCUCGGAGCGCGCGGCUGGAGGGGCGCGGGCGGCGCGCGCUCCAGAGAUGCCUUCCUGCGAGGCUCCGUCAGCGCGGCCCGGGGAGAUCGCCCGCAGGCAGCGGAGGCGCGGCGGGCCGGGGGACGACCAGGGAGCCCCUAACAAAGCAGCUUUGGGAGGGCCGGAGGCCUCUGCCUCCCUCGGCGAUAGGUCCGCGAAGCUGCCUGUCAUCUCGCAUAGGUGGAGGUGGCCAAUGGCGUGCACAGACGGAGCUCUAGUUGGCGCGCGCGCGCGGCUCGGCAUCGGUGGGAUUGGUCGGAGUUGCAGUUUACCUCUCGCAAGGUUGUGGAGAACGCGGAAACGGAGACGCUGGCGGUACAGCCUCGAGCGAAACCUUUCCCUACACGAGGCCGGAGCUUCCUCCUCUCCUGAAGAGCUCUAGACUUCCCCAUUUACAACAAAGGCUGGGAUGUAUGUUCCUUACACCUUGAUUCCAUACACACGUGUUCGCCCCGGGAGCUGGGAAGGUCUGCGCUCCCGGGGUGAUCUUGUUGAAAACAAAAAGAAUUGCCCACGCUGUGGAAGAUAAACCUAAACCGGAAAAUUGAAAGUCAUCCCUGAUUCCUCCUUCUUCUUAACCCUCUCCCAUCCAUUUUUGUUAACCUCCCAAACCCAUUCCUCCCAUCCUGUCUCACCUGGACCUCAGUAAAGGGCUCCCAUCGUCCUUCUGUCCCAGGCCUUGCCCCCUGAAAUCUGUUCUCCACUUUGCAGAAUGAUCCUUCUAAGCAGAAAAAUCUCAUUUUGCGCUCCCAACUCUGGGUCUCUUUUCUUUCCCCAGAACACGUCAACCCCCAGCCCCUCCCUUCACUUCACUAAUUCCUACCCUUCUUCAGAUCCCAGCUUGGCCGCCAAGGCAUCCAUGCAGUAGGCAUUGCUGAACUACUGCUCUUACAGACCCCGGGAAGCCUCCUGUACCCUGUCAAGGUUAGAUGCCACAUUUCCACUUCCAGUGCUUCCACCCCCUGUGCUCCCCUCACAGGCCUGUAUGACACGGGGCUGAAGUUGCCUGUUGCACUGCAGCCUUCCAUGGAAGCCGGAAUCUUAUCUAUCUUCCCUGCUGGAUCCCAGUCCUAGCACAGUGUUUGGCACAUUUGGGGCACUGAAAAAACAUGGAAUCCAUGAAUUAUAGAGGAGCUAUAAUUAUAGGCAAGAGCUUUAAGGAUUUGAAGUGCUUCUAAAACAUCAGUUUGAGAAGAAUGGGUAGCAUGGUAGCUCUUGAACGGAUGCGUCCACCAGGUUCCAUGAUCAGUAUUACAGGGAGGUUUUUGAGUCAAGUUUGAGAGAUUUUCCAAAGACACCCCUUCCAAAACCAGCCUCGUUUCAGCCAACAGCUUGGAAUGGAGAAUAAUUCCCUUGAGAAGCUUUUCAUCCCAGGACAAAGAGCCAUUUCUUUACCUGUUACAAGCCACCAUCUAGGGGAAAUACAUAUAUUUGAAAAUGAGUAGAGGGUUUUUCCCUAAGGAAGUUUAGAAGUACAUCUGGCCAUCCUUAAAAGAACAGACCCUGGAGUGAGGCUGCCUAAUUUCAGGCCCGGUUCCUUUCUAGCUGUUACCUAGGGCAAGUUACUUCAGGCCUCCGUGCCUCGGUUUCCCCAUUUAUAUAAAUGAGAUAACAAUAGUGCUUCAUACCACAUACAGUUGGUACGAGGAUGAAUGAGUUAAUAUUAACAAUGUGCUGGCCAGGCGCGGUGGCUCACUCCUGUAAUCCUAGCACUUUGG